rnacentral:rRNA from 1 species
CCUACGGGAGGCAGCAGUGGGGAAUAUUGCACAAUGGGGGAAACCCUGAUGCAGCGACGCCGCGUGAGUGAAGAAGUACUUCGGUAUGUAAAGCUCUGUCAGCAGGGAAGAAAAUGACGGUACCUGACCAAGAAGCCCCGGCUAACUACGUGCCAGCAGCCGCGGUAAUACGUAGGGGGCAAGCGUUAUCCGGAUUUACUGGGGGUAAAGGGAGCGUAGACGGGAUGGCAAGUCUGGAGUGAAAGGCGGGGGCUCAACCCCCGGACUGCUGUGGAAACUGGCAGGCUGGAGUGCAGGAGAGGUAAGUGGAAUUCCUAGUGUAGCGGUGAAAUGCGUAGAUAUUAGGAGGAACACCGGUGGCGAAGGCGGCUUACUGGACUGUAACUGACGUUGAGGCUCGAAAGCGUGGGGAGCAAACAGGAUUAGAUACCCCUGUAGUC